rnacentral:rRNA from 1 species
UACGUAGGUGGCAAGCGUUGUCCGGAUUUAUUGGGUUUAAAGGGUGCGUAGGCGGCCUUAUAAGUCAGUGCUGAAAUAUCCCGGCUUAACCGGGAGGGUGGCAUUGAUACUGUAGGGCUUGAGUGUAGUCGAGGUAGGCGGAAUUGACGGUGUAGCGGUGAAAUGCUUAGAUAUCGUCAAGAACACCGAUAGUGUAGACAGCUUACUAGGCUACAACUGACGCUGAGGCACGAAAGUGUGGGGAUCAAACCGG